rnacentral:tmRNA from 1 species
GGGGGCGAUCGGUUUCGACGGGAACGAAGAAGGAUUGGUUGCGUGUCCGCCGGCCUGGUACGGCGAAAAUCAUCCAGGAACCCAAUAAGUGCGAACGACAACGCGCUCGCUCUCGCUGCCUGAACAGGGUUAGUUGAGGGCCGUCGACCCGGAGAGCCCGUCAGUACUCUCCGGUAAGGCGUCAUUUGAGCUGACUGGUCACCGUGGGCGUUACUCGCUGCGGUGAUGAGACUUUCGAGUAGCUAGCGACCCUGAAGGCCCGUUCGUGGGCAUGACGGAGAGCGAAACUUCAAAUACACGAACUACGCACGUAGAAGCUCGUCUGGAACGUUCUCGGACCGGGGUUCGAUUCCCCGCGCCUCCACCU